UACGGAGGGUGCAAGCGUUAUCCGGAUUCACUGGGCUUAAAGGGUGCGUAGGCGGGUUUGUAAGUCCGUGGUGAAAUCUCUGAGCUUAACUCAGAAACUGCCGUGGAUACUAUUUGCCUUGAAUAUUGUGGAGGUGAGCGGAAUAUGUCAUGUAGCGGUGAAAUGCUUAGAUAUGACAUAGAACACCAAUUGCGAAGGCAGCUCACUACACAAUCAUUGACGCUGAGGCACGAAAGCGUGGGGAUCAAACAGG
rnacentral:rRNA from 1 species